rnacentral:piRNA from 1 species
UUGACUGACUGUUUCUUCUCAGCAG